AUUGAACGCUGGCGGCAGGCCUAACACAUGCAAGUCGAGCGCGCGGAGGACGGGUGAGUAAUGUCUGGGAAACUGCCUGAUGGAGGGGGAUAACUACUGGAAACGGUAGCUAAUACCGCGUAACAUAAGAUGUGCCCAGAUGGGAUGAGCUGGUGGGUGGGGUAAAGGCUCACCUAGGCGAGGAUCCCUAGCUGGUCUGAGAGGAUGACCAGCCACACUGGAACUGAGACACGGUCCAGACUCCGACGGGAGGCAGCAGUGGGGAAUAUUGCACAAUGGGCGCAAGCCUGAUGCAGCCAUGCCGCGUGUAUGAAGAAGGCCUUCGGGUUGUAAAGUACUUUCAGCGGGGAAGCGUUACCCGCAGAAGAAGCACCGGCUAACUCCGUGCCAGCAGCCGCGGUAAUAC
rnacentral:rRNA from 1 species